AUUGAACGCUGGCGGCAUGCCUUACACAUGCAAGUCGAACGGUAACAGGUCUUCGGAUGCUGACGAGUGGCGAACGGGUGAGUAAUACAUCGGAACGUGCCCGAUCGUGGGGGAUAACGCAGCGAAAGCUGUGCUAAUACCGCAUACGAUCUACGGAUGAAAGCGGGGGACUCGCAAGGGCCUCGCGCGGACGGAGCGGCCGAUGGCAGAUUAGGUAGUUGGUGGGAUAAAAGCUUACCAAGCCGACGAUCUGUAGCUGGUCUGAGAGGACGACCAGCCACACUGGGACUGAGACACGGCCCAGACUCCUACGGGAGGCAGCAGUGGGGAAUUUUGGACAAUGGGCGCAAGCCUGAUCCAGCCAUGCCGCGUGCAGGAUGAAGGCCUUCGGGUUGUAAACUGCUUUUGUACGGAACGAAAAAGCCUUCUCUAAUAAAGGGGGUGAAUGACGGUACCGUAAGAAUAAGCACCGGCUAACCUACGUG
rnacentral:rRNA from 1 species